CCCUUAGAUGUUCGGGGCCGCACGCGCGCUACACUGAAGGAAUCAGCACGUCUUUCUCCUUGUCCGAAAGGACUGGGUAACCCGCUGAACCUCCUUCGUGCUAGGGAUUGGGGCUUGUAAUUCUUCCCCAUGAACGAGGAAUUCCCAGUAAGCGCGAGUCAUAAGCUCGCGUUGAUUACGUCCCUGCCCUUUGUACACAUCGCCCGUCGCUACUACCGAUUGGAUGGUUUAGUGAGAUCCUCGGAUUGGUCCCGGCGCGGCCUCUGGUCGUGCCGGAGUGCCGAAAAGAAUGUCGAACUUGAUCAUCUAGAGGAAGUAAAAGUCGUAACA
rnacentral:rRNA from 1 species